GGCUGGUAAAGAACAUAAAAUAGAGAAUUUACAUAUCCAGAUUACACUUUUGGCUGCAGUAACACAACCCAUUAUAAAUAUUUAACGCCACGGUUUCAAAAGCUUGUGGCAGAUGAACCAGAGUAAAGGUCAAAUAAAAGAUCCAAAUUCACGGAUUAAAUUACAAAUCCUCUGUGUUGUUGACCCUGAAGAGCUAGGUCCAUUGAUGCAAAAAUUUUACUCAGGCU
rnacentral:misc_RNA from 1 species